UUGGAAUUUCUUUAAACCAAUCACAAUUGUGUACAGUGCCGCUGCAAAAUAGCAUUGGGAAGGAACCUGUUUUGGUGGAACAUUUGAAUGUUCAAACUUUGUUUUAGUCGUGCUACAAACUCAGAUUGGACAGAUAGUCUAUCUAGCUGUCUGGAUUUACCCUGCAGAGAUCUGAGGAGCAGUUAACAAUAAUCCUCAAAAAUACACAGGAGUUUAGAACGGCAACAACAAAGAAAGAGGAAGGUGACGGACAUCCGGC